rnacentral:rRNA from 1 species
ACUGAAUGAGAUUUUAACACGAAGUGAGUGGCGGACGGGUGAGUAACACGUGGGUAACCUGCCCAGAAGCAGGGGAUAACACCUGGAAACAGAUGCUAAUACCGUAUAACAGAAAAACCGCCUGGUUUUCUUUAAAAGAUGGCUCUGCUAUCACUUCUGGAUUCCU